UACGUAGGGUCCAAGCGUUAUCCGGAAUUACUGGGCGUAAAGAGUUGCGUAGGUGGCAUGGUAAGCAGAUAGUGAAAUAACGGGGCUCAACCCCGUGUCCAUUAUUUGAACUGCCAAGCUAGAGAAUGUGAGAGGUACCUGGAAUUCCCUGUGUAGGAGUGAAAUCCGUAGAUAUAGGGAGGAACACCGAUGGCGUAGGCAGGGUACUGGCACAUUUCUGACACUAAGGCACGAAAGCGUGGGUAGCAAACGGG
rnacentral:rRNA from 1 species